UAUUAUAUAAUUAUAUCGCGAUAAAGAAUAGUAUUGAAAAGAAACCCUAUUUAUUAUUAGAUAAGUAAUGUAGUCAAUGAAAUGUGCUUUUUUUUUAAAAAAAAAUCAGUUGAUAUCGAUUGAACAUUUGAAAAUAUUUCAAUAUAUUCUUUGCGAAUUCAAUGGAAGUUAUAUUGAUUGAAAAAUAUAAAACAUCAGCUGUCCUGCAAGACCCGCCUUAGGUAGUGGGCCACCACCGUUUCCAGUCUAAAAUAGACGUCCGGGUCUAAUGCAAUAUAAAUCA
rnacentral:lncRNA from 1 species